UAGAUACUCCCUCCGUCCGAAAAUAUUUGUCAUCAAAAUGAAUAAAAGGGGAUGUAUCUAGAUGUAUUUUAGUUCUAGAUACAUCCUUUUUUGUCCAUUUUGAUGACAAGUAUUUUCGGACGGAGGGAGUAGAUA
rnacentral:pre_miRNA from 1 species